AGGCUUGAGCCCUAGAGAGAUGAGAGGAGUCAGGCUGAAAAAGAAUUUCAGGAGGACAGAUGGAGAACAUAGACUGUGCUCAUGUCAGGGACUUGCAGUGUGAAAGACCUCAUGGGGACUUUUGAAGAACCAUUACCUGAUCCUCAUGAGAGAUAUACAUUUAAGUGAAUACUACAGAAAAAAAAAAGCACUGGAAGCCAGCCAUGGAUAGCAAAGAUAAAGCUUCAUAAGAGGAGAAACUAAGAAAAUAUUAUUUUUGAUUUUCUACAUAGACAAUUAUACCUCUGUGAACAAAGACAGUUUAUUUCUUCCUUCCCAAGACCAGUUUUGCUGUUUCCCAGGCAGUUCUUGAACUCCUGCCUCAAGCUAUCCUCCUGCCUCAGCUUCCUGAGUAGCUGGGAUUACAGGUACGAUCCACCAAGAUAUUUU
rnacentral:lncRNA from 1 species